rnacentral:rRNA from 1 species
GUAGCAGGAAGUGCUUGCACUUCGCUGACGAGUGGCGGACGGGUGAGUAAUACUUAGGAACAUGCCUUUGGGUGGGGGAUAACUAUUGGAAACGAUAGCUAAUACCGCAUAAUGUCUACGGACCAAAGGGGGCUUCGGCUCCCGCCCAGAGAGUGGCCUAAGCGAGAUUAGCUAGUUGGUGUGGUAAAGGCUCACCAAGGCGACGAUCUCUAGCUGUUCUGAGAGGAAGAUCAGCCACACUGGAACUGAGACACGGUCCAGACUCCUACGGGAGGCAGCAGUGGGGAAUAUUGCACAAUGGGGGAAACCCUGAUGCAGCCAUGCCGCGUGUGUGAAGAAGGCCUUCGGGUUGUAAAGCACUUUCAGUAAGGAGGAAAGGGAUGUAGUUAAUAGCUGCAUUCUGUGACGUUACUUACAGAAGAAGCACCGGCUAACUUCGUGCCAGCAGCCGCGGUAAUACGAGGGGUGCAAGCGUUAAUCGGAAUUACUGGGCGUAAAGCGUUCGUAGGCGGUUGAUUAAGCAAGAUGUGAAAGCCCAGGGCUCAACCUUGGAACUGCAUUUUGAACUGGUCAACUAGAGUACUGUAGAGGGUGGUGGAAUUUCCAGUGUAGCG